rnacentral:rRNA from 1 species
AUGGGCGCGGAGGUCGCCCAGAUCAGCACCUUCACCGCCGUGGCUGCCCACGCGCUCUGCCUCGCCGGCCUCGCGGCCGCCCACUCCCUCGCUGGCCGCGAUGCCCUCGUCUCCGACCCCGCACACGCCCUGCGCCUCCUCGUGGUCUGUGAGGCGCCGCUUGUCAUCGUGGUGUUCAGUCUGCUCCGGCGAGAUCCCAAACGCUGCUCGGUUUGUUGCGGUGCGAGAGAGGGUCUGAUUGCUUUUGUUUUUUUAUGGGUGUAUGUGUUUUUUUUGCUAAGUCAAUUUCUUACAAUCUGGCCUCACUUGUAA